CUUGAGCCUGACAUGGAGGACACAGAGAAAGGGGAAGAAGAGGUUUUUGAUACCAGACUUUAGUUCUUGCUUUUCGAACCAAGAGACCGUAAGGACUGAAGAAGAGAAUUCAAGAAUUCAAGAAGAAAUGGAAUUCUAGUAAUCAUUAUGUAGUGUCUGUGGAAGUAUCUUAGUCAAAACAAUCCUUUUUGUUUAUUUUCCCUUCGAUAAAAUAAUAACAUAAGUUAGUUAGCUGAACUAUGGAUUGCAUAACAUGCUAUUGAACAUAUUGGGCGCUAUCUCUGAA